UACGUAGGGUGCGAGCGUUAAUCGGAAUUACUGGGCGUAAAGUGUGCGCAGGCGGCAGAGCAAGUCGAGUGUGAAAGCCCCGGGCUUAACUUGGGAAUUGCGCUCGAAACUACUUUGCUGGAGUGUGGCAGAGGAAGGUGGAAUUCCACGUGUAGCGGUGAAAUGCGUAGAGAUGUGGAGGAACACCAAUGGCGAAGGCAGCCUUCUGGGCCAACACUGACGCUCAUGAACGAAAGCGUGGGGAGCAAACGGG
rnacentral:rRNA from 1 species